CUAAUUAAUUUUACUUUCUAAAUUUUGCAAGGUCUCAUUGUAAGUAAGGGGUGAAAUUGAGUUUAGAACUGUCAAUUUUAGAAUUUACGAUCAAAGUAGUUGCCACAUAGACUGAGACAAACGCUUUGAACUGACAGCAAAUUUAAGUUAUGGUAGUCAUUUUAGAUAAGCCAAAUGAGUUCAAAAUCGUCAUCAGGAAAAGUUAACUCUUUCCUGGAUAGGAAGGUUUAGUAAGGCGAGACUGCCCUGUAUGGACCAAAUACCUAAAUUGCGAUCCAUAGAU